AGCCCCGUAGGGUAGCGGUCAAUCCUGCCGGCCUUUGGAGCCGGCGACCGGGGUUCGAAUCCCCGCGGGGCUA
rfam:Ferroglobus placidus DSM 10642, complete genome.